rnacentral:rRNA from 1 species
AACGAACGCUGGCGGCGUGCUUAAUACAUGCAAGUCGAACGUGAAAUCCGCUUUCGGGCGGAGAGUAAAGUGGCGCACGGGUGAGUAACGCGUGGAUAAUCUACCCUGAGGCCCGGGAUAACUCGCCGAAAGGCGGGCUAAUACCGGAUAAUGUCCCAUUACCCAAGUAAUGUGACCAUAGGAGGCCCUGCUUCCGCCACAGGAUGAGUCCGCGUACCAUUAGCUAGUUGGUAGGGUAAUGGCCUACCAAGGCUACGAUGGUUAGCUGGUCUGAGAGGACGAUCAGCCACACUGGAACUGAGACACGGUCCAGACUCCUACGGGAGGCAGCAGUAGGGAAUAUUGCGCAAUGGGGGAAACCCUGACGCAGCGACGCCGCGUGAGCGAUGAAGGCCUUCGGGUCGUAAAGCUCUGUCAGGUGGGAAGAACCCUCCGUCGGUGAAUAAUCGGCGGAGCUGACGGUACCACCAGAGGAAGCACCGGCUAACUCCGUG